rnacentral:rRNA from 1 species
AUUGAACGCUGGCGGCAUGCCUUACACAUGCAAGUCGAACGGUAACAGGUCUUCGGAUGCUGACGAGUGGCGAACGGGUGAGUAAUACAUCGGAACGUACCCGAUCGUGGGGGAUAACGAAGCGAAAGCUUUGCUAAUACCGCAUAAGAUCUACGGAUGAAAGCAGGGGACCGCAAGGCCUUGCGCGAACGGAGCGGCCGAUGGCAGAUUAGGGAGUUGGUGGGAUAAAAGCUUACCAAGCCGACGAUCUGUAGCUGGUCUGAGAGGACGACCAGCCACACUGGGACUGAGACACGGGCCAGACUCCUACGGGAGGCAGCAGUGGGGAAUUUUGGACAAUGGGCGAAAGCCUGAUCCAGCCAUGCCGCGUGCAGGAUGAAGGCCUUCGGGUUAUAAACUGCUUUUGUACGGAACGAAAAGACUCUGGUUAAUACCUGGGGUCCAUGACGGUACCGUAAGAAUAAGCACCGGCUAACUACGUGCCAGCAGCCGCAGUAAGAC